rnacentral:rRNA from 1 species
GUCUACAGCCAUGCUACCCUGAAUGCACCAGAUCUCGUCUGAUCUCAGAAGCCAAGCAUGGUUGGGCCUGGUUAGUACUCUCAUGGGAGAGACAAGCUUGAGGCUUUUGCAGAUG